UUCGGCACCAUCUAGCAGCAGCACCGUGAAGCUCAUGCGCAGCCUCCGAAAUGCAUGGCGCGCCGGUGUGUACAAAUGCUCAGAAGUGCAUCAUGUGGCAGUUGGGCUCCUCCUCAUCUCCUCCUCCCUCGCGCUUCUGUCUGGACAAGUAGUCCACGUGCGGCCUUCAAGACGAGAAGCGGGGCGUGGUUUCAGAGCCUCUGGUGGAUAAAUCUCUUCGUAUCCUGACUUGGAGCCUGGUUUUCAUCUGUCACUCUACUUGGCUGCAUACCAUUUUCAUCUCCAAGGGAAAGCUACAGAAGCGGGCGAGCUGGUGGCCUCCAAAAUCACAGUGAAGUGGUUGCUGCCAUAUGAAUUUGUUACAACUCUCCAAUGAAAAAUGGUAACAGAACAGCGGACCCCAAUGCUACAUCUAUGGCUGAAUAUGUGUUGCUUGAACUACAAAAUGUGGGCUGUUUUUUGUUAUAGAUGCACGCAUCUGAUGACAAGGCAAAUUUUUCAAUGAUGUGGCCUCUUGCUUCACAGCGUGGGCUACCGCAUAGUAGGUUAUAAGCACUGAGGUCGCCUACUAAUAUGUAUGGCUCCGGCAAUCAAUCAACUAGGUUCUCCAAAUCUGAGGCAACAAGUUUUUGAUCUGGUGGAAUGUAGAUGGAACAGAUAGUUACUAGCCUUUUUAGUAAUAUGAAAUGGACAGAUACUGCUUCCAUAGAGGUCUGCAGUAGCAAAUUCUGGCAGGGAACAAAUCUCUGUGCUAUAAUAGCAAUGCCAUCAGCUGAUAUGUGGCUGCCUUCGCAGUCUUUUCGGAGUGUUAAAAACUUAUACCGAACUUUUGUGUUUUCUGGAUUUGGUCUAGGAGUGUGUCUCUUGGACACAAAGUAUAUAUGGUUGAAAUUCAUGGAGCAGUUCAUUUACGUUAUCUGUGUUGUGCGAUAAUCCCCUAACA